UUACGGGCAUAUCACGUUGAAACACGGGUUCCCGUACGCACACCAAAGCUAAGCAACAUUGAGCCUGGUCAGUACCUAGAUGGGUGACCGCUUGG